rnacentral:rRNA from 1 species
UACGAAGGGGGCUAGCGUUGCUCGGAAUUAUUGGGCGUAAAGCGCACGUAGGCGGCUUUGCAAGUCGGAUGUGAAAUCCCUCGGCUCAACCAAGGAAGUGCAUCCGAAACUGCAGAGCUUGAGUACCAAAGAGGAUCGCGGAAUUCCCGGUGUAGAGGUGAAAUUCGUAGAUAUCGGGAGGAACACCAGUGGCGAAGGCGGCGAUCUGGGUGGAUACUGACGCUGAGGUGCGAAAGCGUGGGGAGCAAACAGG